CACGUAGGGCGCAAGCGUUGUCCGGAAUUAUUGGGCGUAAAGAGCUCGUAGGCGGUCUGUUGCGUCCGCUGUGAAAACUCGGGGCUUAACCCCGAGCCUGCAGUGGAUACGGGCAGACUAGAGGUAGGUAGGGGAGAAUGGAAUUCCCGGUGUAGCGGUGAAAUGCGCAGAUAUCGGGAGGAACACCGGUGGCGAAGGCGGUUCUCUGGGCCUUACCUGACGCUGAGACGCGAAAGCGUGGGUAGCAAACAGG
rnacentral:rRNA from 1 species